rnacentral:rRNA from 1 species
GCCAUGGACGAUUAGCAUGCGAGUCGAGAGGGUUCGGCCCUCGGCAGACGGCUCAGUAACACGUGGAUAAUCUACCCUUAGGUGGAGGAUAACCUCGGGAAACUGAGAAUAAUACUCCAUAGGUCUAGAAUGCUGGAAUGCAUCUAGGCUAAAAGUUCAGGCGCCUAAGGAUGAGUCUGCGGACUAUCAGGUAGUAGUCAGGGUAAAGACCUGACUAGCCUACGACGGAUACGGGUUGUGAGAGCAAUUGCCCGGAGACGAUAUCUGAGACACGAUAUCGGGCCCUACGGGGCGCAGCAGGCGCGAAACCUUCACACUGUGCGAGAGCACGAUGAGGGGAUCCCAAGUGCUAGCUCGUAAGAGUUAGCUGUUUCUUUGUCUAAAAAACAGAGAGAGUAAGAGCUGGGUAAGACGGGUGCCAGCCGCCGCGGUAAUACCUGCAGCUCAAGUGGUGGCCGCUAUUAUUGGGCCUAAAACGUUCGUAGCCGGUUUAGUAAAUGCUUGGGUAAAUUGUGUCGCUUAACGAUACGAAUACCGGGUAGACUGCUAAACUUGGGACCGGGAGAGGUUAGAGGUACUCCUGGGGUAGAGGUGAAAUUCUGUAAUCCUGGGGGGACCACCAGUGGCGAAGGCGUCUAACCAGAACGGGUCUGACGGUGAGGAACGAAGCCCUGGGGCGCAAACCGGAUUAGAUACCCGGGUAGUCCAGGGUGUAAACGCUGCUCGCUUGAUGUUAGCUGGGCUCCGAGCCCACCUAGUGUCGGAGAGAAGUUGUUAAGCGAGCUGCCUGGGAAGUACGGUCGCAAGACUGAAACUUAAAGGAAUUGGCGGGGGAGCACAGCAACGGGUGGAGCGUGCGGUUUAAUUGGAGUCAACGCCGGG